rnacentral:misc_RNA from 1 species
GUCGCAUCAAGAUGGAGCUUUUCGCCGAUAUUACUCCCAAAACUGCUGAGAAUUUCAGGCAACUGUGCACGGGAGAAUUUAGGAAAGCAGGAGUACCACAAGGCUUUAAGAAUUGUCAGUUCCAUAGGGUGAUUAAGGACUUCAUGAUCCAAGGUGGUGAUUUCCUAAAGGGAGAUGGCAGUGGAUGUGUUUCCAUAUAUGGAAGCAAGUUUGAGGAUGAAAACUUUAUUGCCAAGCACACUGGUCCUGGCCUUUUAUCAAUGGCAAAUAGCGGACCAAACACUAAUGGAUGUCAGUUUUUUGUCUCAUGUGCCAAAUGUGAGUGGCUCGACAACAAGCAUGUCGUUUUUGGGCGUGUUCUUGGAGAUGGUCUUUUAGUGGUCAGGAAGAUUGAGAAUGUGGCUGUUGGAGCAAACAACAAACCAAAGCUGGCAUGUGUGAUUGCUGAAUGUGGAGAGAUGUAACUAGUGAAAAUAAAUGUACACCUAGUGAUUUGAAAACACCCAUCUGUACCUGGUUAUAUUUUCUUGGCAUAGUCUAGAGGACCUGUUGAGUUGAUUUAUCAGCUCUUUAUCUAUUUCAUUUGACAUUAAUGAUUAAACUUGUGAACUCCUCUUUCUCCAGAAUUGUAGCAAACAAGAAAAAUGUACUGGAUACAAGUGUUUCCUGUGUCAAAGUACAUUGCAA